UGUGCCAGCAGCCGCGGUAAUACGUAGGGCGCAAGCGUUAUCCGGAUUUAUUGGGCGUAAAGGGCUCGUAGGCGGCUCGUCGCGUCCGGUGUGAAAGUCCAUCGCUUAACGGUGGAUCUGCGCCGGGUACGGGCGGGCUGGAGUGCGGUAGGGGAGACUGGAAUUCCCGGUGUAACGGUGGAAUGUGUAGAUAUCGGGAAGAACACCGAUGGCGAAGGCAGGUCUCUGGGCCGUCACUGACGCUGAGGAGCGAAAGCGUGGGGAGUGAACA
rnacentral:rRNA from 1 species